rnacentral:rRNA from 1 species
AGUGAACGCUGGCGGUAGGCCUAACACAUGCAAGUCGAACGGCAGCACAGUAAGAGCUUGCUCUUACGGGUGGCGAGUGGCGGACGGGUGAGGAAUACAUCGGAAUCUACUUUUUCGUGGGGGAUAACGUAGGGAAACUUACGCUAAUACCGCAUACGACCUACGGGUGAAAGCAGGGGAUCUUCGGACCUUGCGCGAUUGAAUGAGCCGAUGUCGGAUUAGCUAGUUGGCGGGGUAAAGGCCCACCAAGGCGACGAUCCGUAGCUGGUCUGAGAGGAUGAUCAGCCAAACUUGAACUGAGACACGGUCCAGACUCCUACGGGAGGCAGCAGUGGGGAAUAUUGGACAAAGGGCGCAAGCCUGAUCCAGCCAUACCGCGUGGGUGAAGAAGGCCUUCGGGUUGUAAAGCCCUUUUGUUGGGAAAGAAAAGCAGCAGGUUAAUACCCCGCUGUUCUGACGGUACCCAAAGAAUAAGCACCGGCUAACUUCGUG